rnacentral:rRNA from 1 species
UUCGCAAUGCCCGAAAGGGUGACGAAGCGACGCCGCGUGGGUGAAGAAGGCCUUCGGGUUGUAAAACCCUGUCAGGAGUUAUGAAAUGUAAGUGCGCUAAUAUCGUGCUUAUUUGACAAAGGCUCCAAAGGAAGCCACGGCUAACUCUGUGCCAGCAGCCGCGGUAAUACAGAGGUGGCGAGCGUUGUUCGGAAUUAUUGGGCGUAAAGAGCACGUAGGUGGGUUUGCAAGUCAGAUGUGAAAGCCUUCUGUUCAACGGAAGAAUUGCAUCUGAAACUGCUAAUCUUGAGUAUAGGAGGGGAGAAUGGAACCUCUGGUGGAGCGGUGAAAUGCGUAGAUAUCAGAAGGAACGCCGGCGGCGAAAGCGAUUCUCUGGCCUAUUACUGACACUCAGUGUGCGAAAGCUAGGGGCGCAAACGGGAUUAGAUACCCCGGUAGUCCUAGCUGUAAACGAUGGGCACUAAGUAGAGGGGUUUU